UUCUCAACUUGUUCACCCUUUUCACAAUUUUUCUGUUCAUGAUCAUUGCAAUACAAAUUAGGAACCUUUACAAAAAAUAUGAUCCAAAUACUAAAAGAAUACCCCCGGCGCCAUGGAAGCUACCCAUAAUAGGAAAUAUUCUGAAUCUUGUUACAACAAACCCACCUAAAAAAUUAAGAGAUUUAUCCAAAAUAUAUGGACCCUUGAUGCAUCUACAACUUGGUGAGGUCUUCUUUGUUGUUGUUUCCUCACCAGAAGUUGCUAGAGAGGUUCUGAAAACCCAUGACACUAUCUUUGCAUCAAGGCCUCAUCUUCUAGCGGCUGAGAUAGCAGGUUAUAAUUCAACAGAUAUAGCAUUUUCACCUUAUGGUGAUUAUUGGAGACAGCUUAGAAAGAUUUGUGCUAUUGAACUUUUGAGCUCAAGAAGGAUCAAAUCUCUUUGGCCAGUAAGAGAGAAUGAGAUUAGGUCUCUCUUAAGAAAUAUUGCUUCAAAUGAAGGAUCAGAAUUCAAUCUUACUCAAGAAGUUAUUUCAAUGGUGUAUACGUUCACAUCAAAGGCUGCAUUUGGUAAAAAAUAUUUGGAACAAGAAGAGUUCAUAUCAGUUGUAAAACAACUUAUCAAACUUAUUGGAGGGUUCUAUAUUGGUGACUUUUUUCCUUCAGCUAAAUGGAUUCAAAAUGUCUCUGGAAUGAGGCGUAAGAUUGAGAAGGUAAGCCGACAAAUAGACACAAUAGUUGAACAUAUCAUUAAUGACCAUAAGGAGGCGAGUUCAAGAAGAGCUAAAGAAGGGGUGGCUGAAACAGAGGAAGAUUUGAUUGAUUGUCUCUUAAAAUUUGAGGACAAUGGCAGUAACAUGGAUUUUCACUUAACUACUGAUAAUAUCAAGGCCAUAAUUGUGGUAUGCAAUUAUUGUUUCUAUAAUAUUGAGAUAACAUGCAUGCCUGUAAGAUUAAAAUGAAAAAUCCCUUUUACUAACCUUACCAAAACGCAUGAGAUCACAAUCUAGGCUGAGCUGUUAACAACCAUGAUAUACCUCUUUUACUAUCUCAUUCAUGUGUUUUAAUCUUCCUCCAAAUAAAUGUCAGUUUUGAAGGCAAAAAGAAAUUUUGUUGUUGAUGUGGUGGAAUUUUUUGAUAUGUAGUUAAUGUCUUUGAAGUUUGAAGUAAGUUAAAUAAGUUUUAAAAAUUUCAGGAUGUCUUUACUGCUGGAGGAGAGACAGCGGCAACUACCAUUAAUUGGGCAAUGGCUGAGAUGAUAAAGGAUCCGAGAGUGUUGAAGAAAGCACAAGCUGAAGUGAGAGAGGGAUUCAAUAGAAGAGGAGUGGUUGAUGAAGCGGCAAUUGAAGAGUUCAAAUAUUUGAAAGCAAUAAUCAAAGAGACACUAAGAUUACACCCUUCUGUUCCUCUCCUUCUUCCAAGGGAAUCUGGACAAGUUUGUGAGAUUAAUGGCUAUCAUAUACCUGUGAAAAGUAGAGUCAUUGUAAAUGCCUGGGCCAUCGGAAGGGAUCCAAAAUAUUGGAUUGACCCAGACAAGUUUUAUCCUGAAAGGUUUAUUGAUAGUUCUAUCGACUUCAAAGGAAAUAACUUUGAGUACAUUCCAUUUGGUGCUGGAAGGAGAAUCUGUCCGGGUAUAAAUUAUGGUUUGGCAAAUGUUGAACAGACCCUUGCACUUUUAUUGUAUCAUUUUGAUUGGAGACUUCCCAAUGGAAUGAAAAAUGAGGAAUUAGAGUUGAAAGACGAGUUUGGAGCAACUAUGUCAAGAAAAGGUGAUCUUUACUUGAUUCCCACAACUUCUCAUCCUUUGCUUGUAAUAUGAAAAAUGAGGUUCUAUCUAAGUUGUACUACUUUGAGAUUGUACUAUAUUCUAUCAGUAGAUUCUUUAUUCUGCUUAUUGUUUCUGAGUUAAAUGUUGUGAUAUUUUCAUUUUAGUCCAUAAUUACAGUUUCCUUUUUCAUGAUACUUCCUAUUUCAGAGUCACUACAAUUGACAUGAUUAAAGUACACCUCACUGUAAUUGUCUCCCACCUUGAGUUUUGUACGCAACUGCCCUUUUAGUGCUUAAUUAGCAGUGAACUUUUAUACAAGUUUCUAAAAUUGAUCGAUGAAGAUCAAUAUUAACCAUUUAUUAUGUCCUCAAGCUUAAAAGAGGGUUGAUAAUAGCGGUUCACAGUUUAUUCUAUAUGCAAAUAAAACAUUGGAAAUACUGGUCUACACAUUAGAAAUACAAAAUUAUACUGAAGGUAGUAGAUAGCAGUGGCAGCAAUACGUAAAAUAAAUUAUAAUUAUUUAAUGAGUAGAACAAAUUAGACCAUUUGAAAGUUAGCCAUCAUGCAAGUGUGAUAGAUCAAUUAAUAAGAACAUGAUUACUAUAAUAAGGAAACAACAUCUACCCGUUGUCACUAUCUCGGCGUAGGCUAGUUUCUCUGGUGUAUGCAACCUUAGGCCUUAGCAUCCUGAGCAGCAAACUGAAGCAUUCUUAAUAAAACUUCGGCGUAGAAUAAAGUUGGAUUGAUCCACAUGGCGCUUGUAAAUAAAAUCUGCAACCAAAUACAAAACAAAGCAAUUCGUAGUGGAAAUGAACUUCUCAACUUUGAAUAAGAACGAGCUGCUGAAGAUAGGAAAUAGAUUGAUAAGCAAAUGAUAGUUUAUAAUACUUGUCAUAAAUCAGUGUAGGCAUGUCACUCCACCAACUUCCAGUUCAGAACAUCAAGUCUAAUGUAAAAGUAGCAAUGCAAAAAUAACAAUGAAAGACCACAACAAUAAUCUGCGGAUUGUUUGCAAGAAAUGAAACGCAAAAGUAUCGAACUACUUAUUUGCAAUAGGAACUAGAGUUAUGAAAGUUGAAUAGAAUUAAACGUAUAAAGAAAUGCCAAUCUGAUACUUUCAACAACUACUAAGAUCGAUUACUUGUGAUUGCCUAUAGACGGCAAUUUGUCACAUUCACGUAGUCGCAACAUCUCUGACCGUUGGAUCGAGAUCAGAAAGUUUAGAUUUUCAGAUCGGUAUAUUUUUUUAUUUUAUAAGGGACAAAAAAACCUGAUAUGAUAAGAAUGAUGGCGUCACGAAUGAGAUUAACAAACUUGCGAAUGAGAAUCUUGCAACAGAGAGCAAGAGUGAUGUCUAAUGAGUUGUGAGUGUCUUACCUCUGAUUAUAGUUACAUGUGCAAGUCAAGUUAUUAUAAGUUAGUUAUGUUGUUUUCAGAGUCCAGGUGAAAUGCAGGUUGUUUCGGUGUAAGCUGGACUAUCACCGAAAUUGUUGUCGUCAACAUCAUCAUUCUUUGGGAAGAGGUAAAUCUACAUCCUAACCUCUGUAACUUUGACCUUUAGAACUUUACGCUGUGUAUUAGUACAACCAAUCAAAGAUGAAGGGUCAUUUUAUGAAAUAUUGUUUUAUAUUAUUUUAUAUGAAAUAAAAAAUUGUGUUGCUACAGCUAACACUGACAAGCAUUUUUGAUUAACUUAACAGAUAAGCUAAAUAAAUCACGUGAUCAUGUAGAAUAUUAGAUAUUGUGGCAAUGAAACCUGAAACACCAUAUUUUUUAUUCAACUUGCUCUAGAAACUAAUUCAAGAAUCACAAAGGGAAACCUAAAGUCUUCACUAUUGGCAUUUAAUGAUGCAAUAAUUACGCUGGAUCAUUUUAUGAUAGCAAUUAUUUUCCAAAAGAGGCAUUGCAUACUGUACUGUCAAUUUGAAUAUGUAGGCUAUAUUUGGCUAUUACAAAAGUCUUCACUAUUGGCAUAUAUAAGUAGGAUUUUAUUAUGUACCAUAUACUAGUGUUAUUCCAUCUCAAAGUACUUUUACAUUUCCAUGGCUCUUCAGAUUCUCAACUUGUUCGCCCUUUUAACUAUUUUUCUGUUCAUAAUCAUUGCCUAAAAGUUAGGAAUCAUUACAAAAACAAUGAUUUAAGUACUAAAAAAAUACCCCCAGGGCCAUGGAAGCUACCCAUAAUAGGAAAUAUUCUCAAUCUAGUUACAACAAACCCACCUAGAAAAUUAAGAGAUUUAGCCAAAAUAUAUGGACCUUUGAUGCAUCUUCAACUUGGUGAGGUCUUCAAUGUUAUUGUUUCCUCACCAGAAGUUGCUAGAGAGGUUCUGAAAACCCAUGAUAUCAUCUUUGCAUCAAGGCCUCAUCUACUAGCAGUGGAGAUAGCAGCUUAUAAUUCAACAGAUAUAGCUUUUUCACCUUAUGUCUCUCUUAAAAAAUAUUGCUUCAAAUGAAGGAUUAGAAUUCAAUCUUACUCAAGAAGUUAUUUCAAUGGUGUAUACAUUCACAUCAAAGGCUGCAUUUGGUAAGAAAUAUUUGGAACAAGAAGAGUUCAUAUCAGUUAUAAAACAAGUAAUUAAACUUGCUGGAGGGUUCUAUAUUGGUGACUUGUUUCCGUCAGCUAAAUGGAUUCAAAAUCUCUCGGGAAUGAGGCCUAAGCUUGAGAAGCUAAGCCAACGAUUAGACAGGAUACUGCAGAAUAUCAUCAUUGAUCAUAAAGAGAUGAGGUCAAGAAGAGUUAAGGAAGGUGUGGCUGAAUCCGAGGAAGAUCUGACUGAUUGUCUCUUGAAAUUUGAGGACAGUGGUAGUGACAAGUAUUUUCAUUUAACUACUGAUAAUAUCAAGGCUAUAAUUCUGGUAUGCAAUUAAUAAUUCUGUACAACUUGAGUGACGUUACCAUUUGUUUAAUUCAAGAGUCUGAUCUCUAGCUGGUGUGUUUGGAAAAGUAUACGUUGGGAGAUGUCAGUUAUCUUGAGGAAUAAGCCUCAGCAGUUACACGCGGGAGAUAUAUUAGUUUACCAUAAAAAACUCUUUUACUAUAUUAUUAGUUUGACAUCUUAAGUUGAAGAUUAUUUGAAUUACCUAUAACUUUUUGAUAUAUAAUUAUUGUCUUUGAAGUUUGACGUAAGUUAAAAUAAGUUUUUAUAAUUUCAGGAUGUCUUCACUGCUGGAGGUGAGACAGCAGCAACUACCAUUAAUUGGGAAAUGGCUGAGAUGAUAAAGGAUCCUAGAGUUUUGAAGAAAGCACAAGCUGAAGUGAGAGAGGGAUUUGAUAGAAGAGGAGCGGUUGAUGAAGCAGCAAUUGAUGAGUUCAAAUAUUUGAAAGCAAUAAUCAAAGAGUCACUAAGAUUACACCCUUCUGUUCCUCUCCUUCUUCCAAGGGAAUCUGGACAAGUUUGCGAGAUUAACGGCUAUCACAUACCUGUCAAAAGUAGAGUCAUUGUAAAUGCUUGGGCCAUCGGAAGGGAUCCGAAAUAUUGGACUGACCCAGAUAAGUUUUAUCCUGAAAGGUUUAUUGAUAGUUCUAUUGACUUCAAAGGAAAUAAUUUUGAGUACAUUCCAUUCGGUGCUGGAAGGAGAAUUUGUCCGGGUAUGAAUUAUGGUAUGGCAAAUGUUGAACAGGUCCUUGCACUUUUAUUGUAUCAUUUUGAUUGGAGGCUUCCCAAUGGAAUGAAAAAUGAGGAAUUAGAGUUGAGAGAAGAUUUUGGAGCUACUAUGUCAAGAAAAGGUGAUCUUUACUUGAUUCCAAUCACUUCUCAUCCUUUGCUUGUAACAUAAAAAACGAGGUUCUAUAGAAGUUGUACUGUUUUCUAUCAGUUAAUUCUUUAUGCUAGUUGUUGUUCAGUGUUUCGUGCGUGCAUUCGUUUAUGAUUGAUCAACAGAACACAAAGAAUACACAAUAGGUCUAAUUCAAAUCUAAAUUAGAAGCAUUUUAAAUACCCUUUUAUAAAAUACUACCCUUACUGAUAAACAUAUCUUACUUGAUAGCAGUGUUAUAGACAUGAUCAUUCGUAAUAACAGAACACAAAGAAUAGAACAAAAAAAGUUAUAAAGUGUGUGUUUACAAACACAAACACACAUGAUCAUUCAUGAUUAAAUUGAGCACAAAGACACCAAAAUAAAUAAUGUGGAACUUAACCAUGUUUUCUUCAAGAAAUAACUAUAUAAGUAUGGGAAUCACAACCAAUCACAUAUGUAACUCUAGAAGUAAUUAUAUGAUUAAAGUAACAUUUUUCACUGACACGACUUACCAAAGAAAUCACCACUUACCAAAGAACUAGAGGGCCAUAGCAUAGCAUCUCUUGCAUAAUUGCUUCUCUUCUUUUUCUUGGUAUCAUCUUAAUGUUGUCUUCAAUUUGGGAAUCUUGCUUCUCAAUGUAUGAAAAAACAGUUCUGCAACAAGUAAUGUAUCAAUGAGAAAAGAGUAAGUUUUAGUCAUACUCAGACAAAAAUACACAAUAGGUAUAAUUCAAAUAUAAAUUAGCAGCAUUUCAAAAUACACCAAAAACACAAUGAAAUUUAACAGAUUUUUUUUUUCCCCCUAUAAAUUGUACUUACAAAAACAUAAGAUGUGAUUAAUUUUACUGCUGCAUUUCAUCAAACACCUUAAAAGCAGUUUUUUUUUUUUUUUACAACGAGCUGAGGAUCGAACCUAGUACCUAUAACAUACUGCCCAAAAACCCUUCACCACUAGACCAAACCUAGUGGCUUACCUUAAAAGCAGCUUUGGUUCUUUCAAAAAUCAAACUCGGAAUAUAAUAGACUUUUAAAGUGAGUCAUCGUCAUUGUAUUAAAGAAAGCAUAAAGUGUAGUGCGUUUGUUACAGAAGAUUGUUUAAUUUGGCUUUAUUUAGUAAUGUAACGGUGGUGGAGAUGAAACGGUUGGGUUGAGGUCUUGGUUAGGGCGGGUGGAUAUGAAAGAGGGAAGACAAUUGUUUCUGUUGGAGGAAGAUGAGGUGUUGGACCGUUGCUGUGGGUCCUUAAACCUCUGUUUUUUUAGGGAAAAAAAUUUGAUAAUCCAG
rnacentral:lncRNA from 1 species